rnacentral:rRNA from 1 species
AUUGAACGCUGGCGGCAGGCCUAACACAUGCAAGUCGAGCGGCAGCGGGAAAGUAGCUUGCUACUUUUGCCGGCGAGCGGCGGACGGGUGAGUAGUGCCUGGGAAAUUGCCCAGUCGAGGGGGAUAACAGUUGGAAACGACUGCUAAUACCGCAUACGCCCUACGGGGGAAAGCAGGGGACCUUCGGGCCUUGCGCGAUUGGAUAUGCCCAGGUGGGAUUAGCUAGUUGGUUAGGUAAUGGCUCACCAAGGCGACGAUCCCUAGCUGGUCUGAGAGGAUGAGCAGCCACACUGGAACUGAGACACUGUCCAGACUCCUACGGGAGGCAGCAGUGGGGAAUAUUGCACAAUGGGGGAAACCCUGAUGCAGCCAUGCCGCGUGUGUGAAGAAGGCCUUCGGGUUGUAAAGCACUUUCAGCGAGGAGGAAAGGUUGACGCCUAAUACGUAUCAACUGUGACGUUACUCGCAGAAGAAGCACCGGCUAACUCCGUGCCAGCCGCCGCAGUAAGAC